UCUUGCCACCUCUAAUUUGCUAAUCAGAUAAUUACCAUGCACAGCAGCAUUCAUCUAGUUCGGGCUUACCAUUUUUCUGAUUAAAUUUAGUGUUUGAUUGACAUGCAUGAUUUUACGAUUUAGCACAAAAUAAUCAUCAAACAUGUCAUGAUUAGAAGAAGAUACCUCAUUCAAUUUGUUAUGUUUCUUCAAGUGAAUGACGAUCAAAAUUGUGAAGCCUGUGAUUUCAGCUUCUUCUCAUACCCUGCAACCUAGCUAUCAUGUUGUAGAAGAAUAAAAGAGGUAAAUGGUGGGAUCAUGGAUGAUGCUGGUUCUUGAGAUGAGCAUGUUGAGAAACGAACAAACACGAACUUUGGUUGUAGGCCGAUAAAUGAAUCGAACGUUCAUGAACUAGUUCGGACAAAAGUUCGUUUAUGUUCAUUUAUUUAAUAAACGAACAAACAUGAACACAUUUUGUUAAUUCAUUUAUGUUCGUUUGUUUAUAUUUAUUUAUUUCAUUCGUUUAUGUUAGUGUUUGUGUUUGUGUUCAUGUUCUGUUAAAGUUAAAUGAACAGUUUAUUUAUAGGCCUAUUUGGGUGAUUUCGACUCACUUGACCUGUUAAUAACUCAAUGGAGAUGUAAUAUAAACCCAAACGGGUCCAUUUGUAACUCUGUAAGCAAACAGGCCAAAAUUACCA
rnacentral:lncRNA from 1 species